UUGAACGCUGGCGGAAUGCUUUACACCUGCAAGUCGCACGGCAGCACGGGGGCAACCCUGGUGGCGAGUGGCGAACGGGUGAGUAAUACAUCGGAACGUGCCCGGUCGUGGGGGAUAACGUAGCGAAAGUUACGCUAAUACCGCAUACGAUCUGAGGAUGAAAGCGGGGGACCUUCGGGCCUCGCGCGAUCGGAGCGGCCGAUGUCAGAUUAGGUAGUUGGUGGGGUAAAGGCCUACCAAGCCGACGAUCUGUAGCUGGUCUGAGAGGACGACCAGCCACACUGGGACUGAGACACGGCCCAGACUCCUACGGGAGGCAGCAGUGGGGAAUUUUGGACAAUGGGCGCAAGCCUGAUCCAGCCAUUCCGCGUGCAGGACGAAGGCCUUCGGGUUGUAAACUGCUUUUGUAUGGAACGAAAAGGCUCUGGCUAAUACCUGGGGCUCAUGACGGUACCGUAAGAAUAAGCACCGGCUAACUACGUG
rnacentral:rRNA from 1 species